GUAGGUGGCAAGCGCUGUCCGGAAUUAUUGGGCGUAAAGCGCGCGCAGGCGGUUCUUUAAGUCUGAUGUGAAAGCCCACGGCUCAACCGUGGAGGGUCAUUGGAAACUGGAGAACUUGAGUACAGAAGAGGAAAGCGGAAUUCCACGUGUAGCGGUGAAAUGCGUAGAGAUGUGGAGGAACACCAGUGGCGAAGGCGGCUUUCUGGUCUGUAACUGACGCUGAGGCGCGAAAGCUUGGGGGAGCAAACAGGAUUAGAUACCCUGGUAGUCCACGCCGUAAACGAUGAGUGCUAAGUGUUAGGGGGUUUCCGCCCCUUAGUGCUGCAGCUAACGCAUUAAGCACUCCGCCUGGGAGUACGGCCGCAGGCUG
rnacentral:rRNA from 1 species